GUCCACGCCGUAAACGAUGCUAACUCGUUUUUGGGCACUUGUGCUCAGAGACCAAGCGAAAGUGAUAAGUUAGCCACCUGGGGAGUACGAUCGCAAGAUUGAAACUCAAAGGAAUUGACGGGGGGCCCGCACAAGCGGUGGAUUAUGUGGUUUAAUUCGAUGAUACGCGAGGAACCUUACCAAGACUUAAAUGGGAAUUGACAGAUUUAGAAAUAGAUCCUCCUUCGGGCAAUUUUCAAGGUGCUGCAUGGUUGUCGU
rnacentral:rRNA from 1 species